GCCUGGGUGGCUCAGUUGGUUGAGUGUCUGACUUUAGCUCAGGUCAUGAUCUCAUGGUUUGUGAGUUCCAGUCCUGCAUCAGGCU
rnacentral:tRNA from 1 species